GCAUACUAGUCUUCAAAUGUAGAGGUGGUGGUGUUCCUCUACAUGAGUCCUGACCGGCGAUGAUGCAAUGUCGCACCUGGCAGGUGUUCGUGGCCUCACGCUAGGACGCUGUCUGUACAACUGGGUGCCAGUUGCAGUAGCGCGCUGCAGCAAAGACUCGUCGUCGUCGUUCACGGACCGCCACACGUCUCAACGGGAGGCAAUAUGAAGCUCUCUGUGUCAGCCCUGCUACUGUGCUUCGUCCUUUUGUGGAGUCAAUAUGAAGUCAACCAGGCAUCAGACGACAUAGAAGACGCCGCCAAUGCCGCCUUGCCUCAACAAAGUAUAUUCAGUGGAGCUGCCGCUGGUGAGACCGAUAAAGCUCUCGAGACUGCCCUGUUUCCAAGUACAUAUAUUGGGUUCUUCGGUGGACGUUGAACUUCCAAGUCAAUAACUCUCGUUUUUCGAGUUUCAUCUCAGAAUAAAGUUGUCGUUGUUUCGUAAAUUUCCCGAAUUAAAGUUUAAAAAAAA